rnacentral:rRNA from 1 species
CAGUAGCCACGGUAAUACGAAGGGGGCUAGCGUUGUUCGGAUUUACUGGGCGUAAAGGGCGCGUAGGCGGGCGAAUAAGUCAGGGGUGAAAUCCCAAGGCUCAACCUUGGAACUGCCUUUGAUACUGUUUGUCUUGAGUUCGAGAGAGGUAAGUGGAACUGCGAGUGUAGAGGUGAAAUUCGUAGAUAUUCGCAAGAACACCAGUGGCGAAAGCGGCUUACUGGCUCGAAACUGACGCUGAGGCGCGAAAGCGUGGGGAGCAAACAGGAUUAGAUACCCCGGUAGUCCCUGUCUCUUAUAC